rnacentral:rRNA from 1 species
AACGAACGCUGGUGGAGUGUCUUAUACAUGCAAGUCGAGCGAGUCGGUUAGCAAUAACUAGGCGAGCGGCGCACGGGUGAGUAACGCGUAAACAAUCUGCCCCGCAGUCGGGAACAACCGUUCCAACGGACGGCUAAUACCGGAUAUUAUGGCGAGUCUCCUGACUCGUUGAUGAAAGAUUUAUCGCUGCGGGAUGAGUUUGCGUACGAUUAGCUAGUUGGCGGGGUAACGGCCCACCAAGGCGACGAUCGUUAGCCGGCCUUAGAGGGUGAUCGGCCACAUUGGGACUGAGAUACGGCCCAGACUCCUACGGGAGGCAGCAGUAGGGAAUAUUGCGCAAUGGGGGAAACCCUGACGCAGCAACUCCACGUGUGGGAAGAAGCAUUUCGGUGUGUAAACCACUGUCGAUAGGGAAUAAACGUCGGCUUCGGCCGGCCUGAAUGUACCUAUAAAGGAAGCACCGGCAAACUUCGUGCCAGCCGCCGCGGUAAUAC